AGUGAACGCUGGCGGUAGGCCUAACACAUGCAAGUCGAACGGCAGCACAGGAGAGCUUGCUCUCUGGGUGGCGAGUGGCGGACGGGUGAGGAAUACAUCGGAAUCUACCUUUUCGUGGGGGAUAACGUAGGGAAACUUACGCUAAUACCGCAUACGACCUACGGGUGAAAGUGGGGACCGGCAAGGCCUCACGCGAUUAG
rnacentral:rRNA from 1 species